AAAUAUCAUUUGUUUAUAAAAUAUCCAAGAUGACUUGGCAUUUCAUAAAAUUUAGUGCUGAGAUUACAGUAAAAUCUAACAUGUGACAUAUUUUAAAAAAUCCACACAAUUAUUGGCCACCUGAAGACAUUGCAAAACGCAUUAUGAAUUUUAUAAAAAAGAAACGUUCUCCGCAAACUGAUUGGAAUAUGAACCUGUACGUAAUUGUGAAUUAAAACAGAAAUAUAGACGUAAGAAGAACAAAAAAUGAAGCCAUUACAAAUCUAACAAUGAAUACGAGUUGUCUUCUGAAGCGGAAAUAUUUUCUUUGGAUGUAAUAGUAAAGCCAUGACCCUGAUGUUUCUAUCAAAGCAACUAAAUCAAGUGGAUUAACUUUUACUGACAAGGCUAAUCAGCUAAAAGCUGCUUCUUCUGUUACUGUGUUUACAGUAAAUUAAUCUCAAAUAGCACAAAACAUUGUAAACCUGCUUCAAUCCUUGAACAAAAUAAUGCAUUUGAGAAACGAGUCCUGAGAAAAUUACACCUUCUUUGUCUAAAAAUUGAUGACAUCCCGGGAAAAGGAAUUAGAUCUAUUGAAAUAUGACCAUAUCUGACUAGCAAAUUGUCUCUACAUUCAAUCUGUAGGAUGCGGAAAGAAACGGACAAAUUAACGGUCAUAGGUGAUCUCUCUGGAUAUACCUGUAAAUUAAAUAUAUGAGAGUUUUUAGUGCUAAAUAGCUUUCUAUUGCCAAUAAUAUUUAUUAAUAAUUUUGUGCUCUUUGAACAUCUAAGGUUUGCGGAAAACCCAAUCUGAUCUUGACAAAAAUCUGUCUGCAACUACGUACACGAUUCCAGUCUGUUUCUUUUCACAUUUUGUACAAACUUAAUGUAGAAACAAAUUUAAUUUGCAGAUCUGGUUAAUUAUGGUCAUGUUUCGGCAGAUCUAAUUUUUUUCCGGGAUGUUUAAAGUUUUGAAUGUUUUAUUGAAAAGAAUGAACUACAGUACUUACAUUAAUGUAAUGAAGUUCUAGAUACCAUAUUAUUCCCAGUGAAUGAAAAUUUAGUAGUUCAAUUAAGCAAUUUGGUUAAUCUUGAAUAUAAAAUAUUUUUGAUCUGACUAGUUAUAUAUGGUCAUGUUUCGGCAGAUCUAAUUUUUUUUCCGGGAUGUUUGAAGUUUUGAAUGUUUUAUUGAAAAGAAAUAAACUACAAUACUUACCUGAAUGUAAUGAAGUUCUAGAUACCAUAUUAUUGGACAAAAUAAUAAGUGUACAUGUGUGUAAAAUCCACAUAUAUUUUAUUUUUUCAAACGUAUAAACUUAAAUUUAUGACAAUAUAUGGUUCCAAAGCAUUUUACAAGCAAACAUAAAUUGUCAUUGCAAUCUUCAUAAAAUGUUGAUGACAUUUUUGUUCAAUUUUUUAGCUUCCUGGCAUAUUAUUUAAAAUUAUUUGUAUUAAUGUUUUCAAAAUCUUUUAACUUUAUACAUAUUUUUAACUUUAAGUCAACUUUUUCCGACGAACCUAUAAAUUAUCUUUUUUACAUACUUUUUUUUAAUUAUUUGCUACAUUAUUCCCAAAA